AUUGAACGCUGGCGGCAGGCCUAACACGUGCAAGUCGAGCGGAUGAAGGGAGCUUGCUCCUGGAUUCAGCGGCGGACGGGUGAGUAAUGCCUAGGAAUCUGCCUGGUAGUGGGGGAUAACGUCCGGAAACGGGCGCUAAUACCGCAUACGUCCUGAGGGAGAAAGUGGGGGAUCUUCGGACCUCAGGCUAUCAGAUGAGCCUAGGUCGGAUUAGCUAGUUGGUGGGGUAAAGGCCUACCAAGGCGACGAUCCGUAACUGGUCUGAGAGGAUGAUCAGUCACACUGGAACUGGGACACGGUCCAGACUCCUACGGGAGGCAGCAGUGGGGAAUAUUGGACAAUGGGCGAAAGCCUGAUCCAGCCAUGCCGCGUGUGUGAAGAAGGUCUUCGGAUUGUAAAGCACUUUAAGUUGGGAGGAAGGGCAGUAAGUUAAUACCUUGCUGUUUUGACGUUACCAACAGAAUAAGCACCGGCUAACUUCGUG
rnacentral:rRNA from 1 species